CGUAGGCGGCUCGAUAAGUUCUGUGUGAAAGCUCCCGGCUCAACUGGGAAGCGUCGUGGAAAACUGUCGAGCUGGAGUGUUGGAGAGGGAGGUGGAAGUCCCGGAGUAGGGGUGAAAUCCGUAGAGACCGGGCCGAACACCAGUGGCGAAGGCGACUUCCUGGCCAACGACUGACGCUGAGGCGCGAAAGCGUGGGGAGCGAACGGGAUUAGAUACCCCGGUAGUCCACGCCGUAAACGAUGGAUACUAGGUGUUGGUGGUAUCGACCCCACCAGUGCCGGCGCACACGCAGUAAGUAUCCCGCCUGGGGAGUACGGCCGCAAGGCUAAA
rnacentral:rRNA from 1 species